rnacentral:rRNA from 1 species
GAUGAACGCUAGCUACAGGCUUAACACAUGCAAGUCGAGGGGUAACGAGAGGAAAGCUUGCUUUCCUUGUCGACGACCGGCGCACGGGUGAGUAACGCGUAUCCAACCUGCCCCCAACUAGGGAAUAACCUUGCGAAAGUAAGACUAAUACCCUAUAAUUUCCUCAGAUGUCAUCUGACGAGGAAUAAAGAUUUAUCGGUUGUGGAUGGGGAUGCGUCUGAUUAGCUUGUUGGCGGGGUAACGGCCCACCAAGGCAAUGAGCAGUAGGGGUUCUGAGAGGAAGGUCCCCCACAGUGGAACUGAGACACGGUCCAAACUCCGACGGGAAGCAGGAGUGAGGAAUAUUGGUCAAUGGGCGGAAGCCUGAACCAGCCAAGUAGCGUGCAGGAUGACGGCCCUAUGGGUUGUAAACUGCUUUUAUACAGGAAUAAAGUUAGCCACGUGUGGUUAUUUGUAGGUACUGUAUGAAUAAGGACCGGCUAAUUCCGUGCCAGCAGCCGCCGUAA